UGUUGCAGUCUUUUACCAAUGUUCUUUGGUUCCGUAUAAAUGAUAUGGUAAAUUUACAUUCAAAUUCAUGGAACUUUUCAAAUCUGUUUCCCAUUUAGCUGACCAGCCAAAAACAAUAUUUUCAUUUGUAAACAGCUGUUUCAUAAUCAGCCCUUUUGUACUACGUGGAAUUCCAUAAAAGAUACAAAAUUUCAUUUAAAAUACAGGAAUUGCAUUAAUCCACUGAAAAUCAUUGAUUAGUUUUUGUGUACUACCACACAGUUUAACUUAUAAGGAAAGAUUUUAAGGAAAAUUUAAUCUUGUGUCCAAAUAUAACAUUACUUUAAACAUGAGGUCAUCCAAACAUCUGUCUCCAAUAUAUCACUGGGGAUUUAAAUCAAAAGUCUGCUAAACAUGUACAAUCAUUUUGAAAAUAAAUAACAGGACAAAUUUUGUCUUGAUUAUGAUUAUCAUGCAUUUUAAAAGGAAACAUUUAUUCUAAUAAGAAAAGUCUGAACUAAUUUAAACUUUAUUGACAUUAAGCUAAAAAAGUUUCAUAUAAGAGUAAGAGGUAUAUUUCAUUUAUUUGCUGCUUAACAAUACUCUUAUUUUAACUUUUCAAUAUUAUACACUAUUCUUUUAUCUCUUUAUAUAUUGUUAAUUGCAAAAUAUUCAAAGAAAAUUUUCAAGAUAUAAAAUGUUUCCACUCAGUAACUGAAAAACUAAUAAUAUUCAUUCUGAACUUUUCUUCCUUUAGGACAACUAUAAGUCCUCAACAAGGAGUAAAAUAGCUCUAUCCAUUUAAGUGACUCGUGUUUUAUGCUUUAAAAUAAAACGAAUAUGGCUAAUUACAAAAGACAGCAAAGGCAAUAACUUCCCUUCAAGUCUUUACAAUUAGCAAAAAAAAAAAAAAAGGAUGCAUUUUAAAGAAAGUUUAAUUAAAACAAACUUUACACCUUGCUCUAGAAUUUGUAUCUAGUAAAUCAGAGUAUUUCAGUUCAGCAACAGGAUUAUUUCAAAAAAUGGCUAAAUACUUGAGAUGAAUUAGCAUUAAACCAAAAUGCUCAAACUUCAAAACAGUUUCUGGCCAAACUAAAAUGAAAGUUAGCAGUUGAAAAGCUGGAAAAAAGCAAAUUAAAGCAUCACUACAAUAAUACAUUCUUAGAAAAACACUACAGCAUUCGCUAAUGUAGCAGAAAUCACCAGAAAAUUCAGCCACAAGGGACAUCAUUGUCUAGGCUGAUCUUGCGUCUAAGAGGCUGUCACAAAAUUUAACUGUAGAAGGUGGUAAUUAUGGAUUUCAGAACUAUCAAAAUUCUUUUCUUCUUCCUGCCUAUGUCUCAGAAGAGCUGAGUGCCUUAGCCAUGGUAAUUUCAGGUCAUGUAUUCCGCCUUGGAAGCAAAAAGCAAAGAACUUUAAAAUGCAUUCAUGAUGCUGCAUAUAGAACUCCUUAGAGGCGAGACGAGUGUCUUACCCAUCUUGGAUGCCCGCUGCCUAGAGCUGCAUUAGACACAUACCUACAGCUUAAUAAUGCUUGCUAAAUGCAUGAAUUUAGUUAAAGAAAGGAACAUCUGUCUAAAAACCAAGAAUUUUUGCCCUGGUUCAGCUAAACAGCCUACUAAUAAACUGUCUUAGUUUUCCCACCUAUUAAAUGAGACUAAUUCUUGACCUGUGCCCCCACUAAUGUGUUAUGAGAAGUGAAUGAGAACAUAUAAAUAAAAAUGUCCCCCAAACUAGCAGUAGUUAAGCAAAUAUAAUUAUUAUGAUGACUCUCAACAAUAUAUGUAGGUUAGAAUUAUAUAUACAGAAAAACAGAUAUUGAAUGUAAGAAAAAGUAUCUAUUAAAAAUAUUCUUUUGGGAGUUCCCAUCGUGGCUCAUCGGAAAUUAAUCUGACUAGUAUUCAUGAGGAUCCAGGUUCGAUCCCUGGUCUCACUCAGUGGGUUAAGGAGUCAGCAUUGCCGUGAGCUGUAAUGUAGGUCGUAGACACAGCUGAGAUCUGGCUUUGCUGUGGCUGUGGUGUAGGACAGCCACUACAGUUCCAAUUCGAUUCUGAGCCUGGAAAUCUCCAUAUGCUGCAGGUGUGGCCCUUAAAAAAAUAAAUUCUUUUGAAGAUUAAAGUUGAAAUAAUUUCUUUACCAAACUAAUGUGAUAUGUCAAAAUACAGACAAAUUCACUUUGGAAGUACAGUUAAAAAACUGUAGGCUAAGAAAUGCCUUCAGAAAAUAUGUUUUAUUACAUCAUUUUAACUUUAUAAGAUGUUGAAAACUUAAUAAUUAAUGUCUUGGUUGGAUUACCAGGAAGAAACUCGGGCUUUCUUAUUUAAAUAUACAAUUGAGUUUAUCAUGGAUAUUAGCCUUCCCAUUUCGAAAGGGUUUAAUACUGUAAUAGAUGUCUAAGACUGUUGCUUCAGCAUGAGAUAUAAAAACAUGUAUUCUGUUGCUAGAGUUUUCCCCAAAACUUAAAUAAACACAAAUAACAUAUCUUUGUUGGGAGUUAAAUGAGAUAAUGCACAUAAAGUGCUUAGCCUGCUUGCACUAAAGGGCAAGUCAGAAUGCUAGUGAACAGAAGUGAAGAGUGUUACACAGAAGAAUAAACACAAACACAGAAGAAUUACCUACAGGGAUAUAAAAAUAGCAAAACUAUUAAGAUAUAGGAAAUGUCCCUUUUUCUCCUUAGCCUGAUUGUCAGAAAAAAUUACAAACUUUUUCAAAAUAGUAGUAUUUGAGGCAGAAAAAACACACUACUCCGAGGCACUGUCUUGAUCUAGCUGCAUACCUCUCAGUUGUCAUGGACACAGGAAGGAACAAUGAAAUCAUUAUUUGACUAUGAUUUUUUAGUUGCUAGUCAGCAUGAUUCUGUCUGUAAACUGCAUCUCUGCAUUCCCUAUGGAUCAGGGGAGCUGUCCCUCCUGGUAGUGACAGAAUAACCACAAACAAAACAAUCCUUCUCAGGGGAAAGCCAUCUUUAUCUGUCAGUAUAAGUCAGUUGAGAAACAGAGCUGAAGGCAGCUGAAAAAACAGUUUUGACUGUUUUAAAUUUACAGGUGGCCUUAUAAUGGAAAGUUUUACACACUGAAAUUCCUUUUUCAAGUUAAAAACAUUUGGAUAAAAAGGGACAAAGUUUGGCAGGAUUUUAAUGCAAUGCUUCUAACCAGCUUGCGAAAGCAAAAUAUCAAAUUUUAGUGAAGCUUGGUGAACGAAGCACCCGCCUUCUGGCAAAUGGAUUCAGUUAACUGUUACCAGCCUUUCCAUGCUGCACAUUCCUCAUGGGUAAAGUCAGAUCAGCCACAGGUAGCUGUUAUCACAGGGCCUAGUACACAUAAGAAAUUUAAGAAAUGUUUUCUGGAUGAAUUCAUGGACAUUGGGGAGAACUAAUUCAAAAAUAUUUCUGAAAAGUAGAUUGUAUACACAUAAAUAUAAUAAUGUCAAUGUAUAAAUAAUAGGACAGCUGCUUAAAGCUCAGGUAGAAAGUAUUUUGACAUAUAUGUUUGUGUGUGUGUUUUGUUUGUUUGGGAGAAACCAGGAUGAAAAGAGAAGGCUUUUGACUGAUAAUUCCAUCACCAUUAGUAUCAAGGAUCAGACAUUUGGGGUUCCACAGAAGACAUCUUUGAUGCUUUUUCCAACAUUUGUGGUGACAAAGCAGAUGGGGAGAGCUGAUUUUAUAGGUGGCUCAAAACUUCCUUCCUGAUUGGCCUACCGUAACUCAAACAUUCUCUGGGGGGAAAGGCACAGUUUAGAGCCUAUCCCAUAGGAAAAAAAGUACAACUCAUUAAAUAUAUCAAUUUAGCUACUAGAAUAAAAUUUUCCUAGAAUAAAAUCAGAGAUUUAAAAAGUGAGAUUAGGGAGUUCCCAUCACGGCUCAGUGGAAAUGAAUGUGACUAGUAUCCAUGAGGACACAAGUUCAAUCCCUGGCCGUGCUCAGUGGGUUAAGGAUUCAGCAUUGCCAUGAACUGUGGUGUAAGUCAGACACAGCUCAAAUCCCAGAUUGCUGUGGCUGUGGUGUAGACCAGCAGCUACACCUCCUAUUCGACCCCUAGCCUGGGACUUCAUAUGCCGCGGGUGUAGCCCUAAAAAAUAAAAUUAAAUUAAAAAUUAAAAAAAAAAAUAAAAGUCAGAUGAGAGUCAUAAAACAUGGGGGGCUUUAGCGUGAAGCCCUGGACAGGCCCUGAGGGAGAGCACUAAACCCUGGAGUUGAGAGAUGUAAAAAUACAGAAACUAGGGAGUUCCCGUCGUGGCGCAGUGGGUAACGAAUCCGACUAGGAACCGCGAGGUUGCGGGUUCGGUCCCUGCCCUUGCUCAGUGGGUUAACGAUCCGGCGUUGCCGUGAGCUGUGCUGUAGGUUGCAGACGCGGCUCGGAUCCCGCAUUGCUCUGGCUCUGGCGUAGGCCGGUGGCUACCGCUCCGAUUCGACCCCUAGCCUGGGAACCUCCAUAUGCAGCGGGAGCGGCCCAAAGAAAUAGCAACAACAACAACAACAACAGCAAAAAGACAAAAAAAAAAACAAAAGAAAAAAGAAAAAAAAAAAAAAAUAAAAAACCUAGUUAACCUACAAAUCAGAAGUUGUCCAUCACGGGGGUCUCUUUAUCACUGGGUGGGAUAUGGAAAUAAUGACAUUAAAGACAAAGUGUUUAUUCCUUGACCAAUAGUGCUUGAUAAAAUGUACUCCAAACAUUACAAUUUUAAGACCGCCAAAGUUAUUAUGGAUGGUAAAUACAAUAGAAUAACUACAAAAUGGGCAUAAAUGCCCUUCUUUCUUUUAAAAAAAAAGUAAGUUUUGGGAUAAGGGGAUAAUCCAAGUUAUUUGACAGGAUAACCACUGGGAUAUGAAUUAAGAACCAUCCCUACAGGUCCACUAUGGAAUACCAGGAAGAAAAUUUCCAGAAGCAACCUAAUGACUCCAUUUGGGGAAUAAAAAGACCACAUCAUCUGAUGAAAAAUGGGAUUAUGUUAAUGACUUCCAGGUUUGAGAACAAAACAAAACUCUAUCACCAGCCAGCUGAGUGAAGCAAAAAUAAGAUGAGGUUUCUAAAAGGUAAAAAGAAAAAUCGGGUUUACAUUCUAAGUUGUAGAACAGAAUUAUAGUCAGCAUAUCAUAUGUCAUGUACCUAAAGAUUUUCUAAAAUGUUUGGAAUAUGCCAAAGUUCUUUUAUGUGUUCCCUCUCCAUUAAUAAUAACCAUGCUUAGAGUGCUUACUAAGCACCAGGCAAAGUGACAAGCACUUUACACAUACCAACACAUCUGAUCCUUCUAACAGCCUUACGAAGUAGAUUGCAAUGUGUCUCUAUGUUUUCUGGAUGAAGCACAGACACAUUAAACUGACUGCCCACAGUAACACAUAUAGUGAGUCUCCAAGAUGGGAUCUAAUGGCAGGUGGUAAAACAUCAGAAUCCCCACAGGACACCAUCUGCUGGUGUUACCUCUACUCUUUCUGUAAGGUAAAGUUCACUAUUAAAACAGGAAUGUCUCUUGACAGGGUACCCUAUUUUCUUCUUCUUUGUUGGUCUCAGUUAUACUUAUUUAUGGCUUUGUUCCCCCAGUAUACUCAAAAAUCUGCCAUCUAUGGAACUAUUUUUGGAAAAGGAUAUAAUUCCAAAAUAAAGAUCCAAUAACAAAAAUGAGGUAGAUCAAUGCACAUAUUUCAGACACAGACAUACAAACACUCACCCAUGAAUGUGUUAACUCUUUCUGACACCAAGGUACAAACUUAACAGACCCAAAGAGACAAUUAAGACUAGGUUGCUCUGACCCUACUGAAGAAGUCCAUUGACACACGACUACAUGCAUCUCUCUGUGUAUGCAACACAUAUGGGAGUGACCUGGGGGUUCC
ensembl:lncRNA